rnacentral:rRNA from 1 species
AACACGGACCAAGGAGUCUAGCAUGUGCGCGAGUCAUUGGGACAUAACUAAACCUAAAGGCGCAAUGAAAGUAAAAGUCCGCCUUGCGCGGACUGAGGGAAGAUGGGCGCAGGUCGUAACAAGCCUCGUCCCGCAUUCCCGGGGCGUCUCGUUCUCAUUGCGAGAAGAGGCGCACCAAGAGCGUACACGCUGGGACCCGAAAGAUGGUGAACUAUGCCUGGUCAGGACGAAGUCAGGGGAAACCCUGAUGGAGGUCCGUAGCGAUUCUGACGUGCAAAUCGAUCGUCGGAACUGGGUAUAGGGGCGAAAGACUAAUCGAACCAUCUAGUAGCUGGUUCCCUCCGAAGUUUCCCUCAGGAUAGCUGGCGCUCGUAACGAACGAGUCUCAUCCGGUAAAGCGAAUGAUUAGAGGCAUUGGGGCCGAAACGGCCUCAACCUAUUCUCAAACUUUAAAUGGGUGAGAUCUCCGGCUUGCUCGAACCGAUGAAGCCGCGAGAUACGGAUCAGAGUGCCAAGUGGGCCAUUUUUGGUAAGCAGAACUGGCGCUGUGGGAUGAACCAAACGUUGAGUUAAAGCGCCCAAAUCGACGCUUAUGGGACACCAUGAAAGGCGUUGGUAACUUAAGACAGCAGGACGGUGGCCAUGGAAGUCGGAAUCCG